CUCGAACCCGGGAGGCAGAGCUUGCAGUGAGCUGAGAUUACAUCACUGUACUCCAGCCUGGGUGACAGAGCUAGACUCCAUCUCAAAAAAACAAAUAAAUAAAUAAAAAUAACUGUGAUGGGUAUGUUUAGUCAAUAUGCAUUAACAGGUGAGGAAUUUCAACAGAUAAAUGAAAACUGAAAAAAACUAGAACACUGUUUUUAUUUAUUUAUUUUUGAGAUGGAGUCCCACACUGUUGCCCAGGCUGGAGUGCAGUGGUGUGAUCUUGGCUCACUGCAACCUCUGCCUCCCAUGUUCGAGUGAUUCUCCUGCCUCAGACUCCCCAGUACUGGGAUUACAGGCGUGUGCCACCAUGCCCAACUAUGUUUUGUAUUUUUAGUAGAGACGGGGUUUCACCAUGUUGGUCAGGCUGGUCUUGAACUCCUGACCUCAGGUGAUCCACCCACCUUGGCCUCCCAAAGUGCUGGGAUUAUAGUCCCAGCUACUUUGGAGGCUGAGGCAGGAGGAUCUCUUGAGCCCAGGAGUUAGAGGCUGCAGUGAGCUGUGAUCGAACCACUGCACUCCUGCCUGGGCAACAGAGCGUGGCCCUGUCUCAAAAAAAACAAAAGUCAAAUGGAAAUAGCCUCUCCACCACCGCCCCCCCACCAACAAUAUCAACAUUCUUAUCAUAGGCUAAUUAACACACUGGAAAGAACUAAGGAAAGAAUCCAUAAACUGGGAGACAGGUGAGUAGAAGUCAUCCAAAAUGAACACAAAGAGAAAAAAGACAAAGAGAGAGAACUAAAUCAAGCAUCCAAGACCUUUAAAACACUUCAACACACUCUAGUGAAUGUCCACUUAUGAUCCUAAGAGGAAAGAAGAAAUCGUGGAAGAAAAGCUACUUGGAGAGAUGGUGGCUGAGAGUCUCCCAAAGCUAGUCAAAGACAAAAAAAAUCACAUAUUUGAGAAUUUUGGAGAGCCCUAAGCAGAAUAAACACAAACACUCCUGUUAGAACUAAUAAAAAAUCCAGCAAAGGUGCAGAGUGUAGUAUCAAUACACAAAAAUCCACUGAAUUUCUAUACAUUAGUAAUAGACAAUCUGAAAAUGAAAUUAAGAAAAUUUUAAAUAAUAAUAGAAUAAAAUACAGAAGCAUAUACGUAACCAAAGAAGUAUAAGAGUUAAAUGCUAAAACCCCCAAAUCCUGCUGAGAGGAAUUAAAGAAAACAUGAGCAACUGGGGAGGCCGCCCGUGUUCAUGGGCCAGAGGCACAAUCACGUUAACAUGGCAAUUUGUAAAUCCAAUAUAAUCCCUGUCAAAAUCCAGCAGGCAUUUGUGCAAAAUUUGACAAAUUGAUCCUAAUAUUUACAAAUGAAAAUGAAAGGAAAGCCACCGAUUAGGAUAAAAUAUUGACAAAUCAUAUAACUGAUAAAAGAUUGUAUCCAGAAUAGAAAAAAGAGCUAAAAACUUCAUGACAAAAAUAACUUAAAGGACCCGGUAUGGAUAAAACAAUUUUUUAAAAGAACAAAAUUUAGUAACAAAGACAGUCUCGUAUUGGUUUCACUGUAGCCACACAGAUCAAUGAAACAGGAUCAAAAGUCCAGGAAAAAAAAAAAACGUUUUAUGUAGAUUGUCAAUUGAUUUUUGACAAAGGCAACAAACAGAACUCAGUCGGGGGACAGACAGUCUUUUCCACAAAUAGUGCUGGGACAUCUGGAUAGCCACAUGAGAAAGAAGUUUGGAACCCUAUCUCAUGUCCUCCACAAGAAUUAACACAAAGAGGGUUACAUGAAAACCGGGAACUAAAACUUGUAGAAAACAUGGGAGAAAGUCAAGGAAGCUGUGGGCCAGGUGCAAUUCCUUAGCCAUGACAUCAAAAAUAAGAUCGUAAAAUAAAACAUUGAUAGGGUGAACUUCAUCGAAUUUUUUUCAAAUGUGUGCUUCAAAAGACACUAACAAGAAAUCGGAAGAUAAGUCGCAGAUCUGGAGGAUGUAUUUGCAAACCAUAUCACUGAUGAAAGAUUGAACCCAGAAUGGAAAAGGAACUAAAAAAUUAAUGACAAAAACAGCUCCGUUAGAAACAGGCAAAACAUCUGCGUAGACAUCCAAUUUCAUAAUUUGUGAGAAAUGUAUUUAGUACCGUACACCUCUCAGUAACAGCUGCUUCACUCUGCCCCGUCCUUCUAAUGUGCAAUGUUUUUAUUACUUUUUAAUAAUUAUGAUUAUCUCUUUAACCCCAAAUUUAUGGUAAUAGACUAUUUGGUUUCCAAACAUACAAUAUUUGCACUAUCCCUUUUGUGACUUAAUUUCUAAUUUUUUUUUUGCCCUGUGGUUGGAAAAUAUAUUUCUGUAUGUUGAUCAUUUGACUGUCAGAAAGCUGCAUUGUGGCUUAAUGUUUUAAUCCUUUUGUAGCCUUCUUUCAGUCCACAUACAAUUGGCUUGCAUUUUCCCUUCCUGUUAUUGUCAACUAUUCUGUGUCUCUCGCGGGUAACAUCGUUUAACUCCAUCCAUACUCUUGUGUCUUUUAAUUGGUAAGUUUAAUUUAUUCGUUCUUCUGAUAACCUGUUGUAUCAGGAUUCAAAAGUCCUGCUGUCUUAAAUCAGGUUUUCUGUUUUGCUGUAGUCCUUUUUCUUUCUUAUUAUUUUCAUGACCAUGUUCCCUUCCCAGGGCUGGUCAUUUGAGGAGCUGCCAGAUUAAGACCUUUGUUGUCCCAGGACAAGCUCCGUUGCAGAGGCCGCAGAGGCCACCAAGAAGAGGGCUCCGUGCGGAGAGUGCAUCCUGAUCCCCGGGACCAGGCCAGGUGCGAGGCGUGCCCUGGCUGAAACUCAGUGCCUUGGUAUUUUUGGAACCUACUUGGGGAAGAAAAAUCUGGAAACCCUGUCCUCCCAGUACUGAGCGUUUUCUGUCUCGGAAGAGGUGGUAGUUGCAGUUCACUUCGGAGCCGCCUGCUGUUUUCACUUUGGGGGACUCUGGAGUUUUAGUUGCACAAACAAGGAAUUGCCUGCAUGUUCCCUGGAUGCAAAUGUCUCAGGAGGGGAAUGUGUGUGUGUGUGUGUGUGUCCUGUCGUACGUGGGUGCUCCCCCCUGCCCUCCUCUCAAUCCUCAUCAGUGCCUGACGAGCUCUGGGCAGCACACCGAGGGAUCCAGGCUGGUGCCUUGGGGCUGAGACUCAGGAAGAUCAUGUCUCCUCCCUCCCACUGAGGUCUUUGCCCAGGACCUCACUUCCUAGACGAGGAGCAGCCUCUUUCCAGGACAACCCAGAGUGGAAAGGUCCUCCUUGGGACAAUUACUCCAGAACUCAGGCGGUGGGUUUCACUCUGUCCAGGUGGCAGCUGCCUGUCCAGCUGAUGAACACCCCACAGCGUGCAGAGGCCGUGCUAUCCCGUGGCUGCUCUGCACACAUGAUUUCAGAAAAUCCAUAAAAUUGAUUAAUCUUUCCCCUGUCUAAUCACUAAAGAGAGAGACUGCACAAAUUAGCAAGAUUGGGAAAGAAGGAGAUUCUAUAAAUAUGUAAAAGGAUGAAAGGGACUAUUCAGAACAUUCAGGUCAAUAAAUCUGACAACUCAGAUGUGAUGGAUACAUUUUUUUGAAAGACACGAAUUAUUAAAGUCACUAAAAAAAUAGAUAAACCAAAGAGCCCUGUAUUUGUUAAGAAAAUUAAACUUGUAGUUCAAAAACCUUCCGACAAAGGAAAUGACAGGUCAAAUUGUUUCACUGGUAAAUUUCACCCAGCAGUCAACAAAUAGAGAAUCCUGACUCUGUACAACUUUUUCCAGGAAACCGAAGACCAGAGAACAUUUCCUAACACAUUCUACGAGGCUUAUCCUGAUACCAAAACCAAACAAAGAUAUCACAAGAGAACUACAGGCCAAUACCCCUCAUGAACAUAGAGGCAAACAUUUAGCAAACUGGAUACAGUAAUAUGUACAAUAAUAAUACAUGAUGACAACGUGGAGUUUAUCCCAGUAACGCAAGAUCAACUGAAUAUUUGAAAGAUCAGUGCAUUUCACCACAUUCACAAGCUAAAAAAGAAAAGCCAUAUGAUCAUCUCCAUAGACACAGAAAAAAAUCUGAUAUCCGUUAUGCAUUUAUAAUAAAAACUCAAGCCAAAUGAGAGCACAAGGGAAUGUUCCCAGUCUGAUAAAGGGGCGUCUCCGAAGCAGAUGCAGCAGGCAUCUUGCUUCCUAGCAGAAGAUUGCCCGCUUUCCCCCAAGAGAAGGAACCAGCAGCAGUGCCUACUCAAAGCGUCUCUAUUCUAGUUGGUGCAAUGAGGCACGGAAAGGAAAACAAAACAAAACAAAACAUAGAUUGCAGAGGAAGAAGUAAGACAGGGUCAUGGCCAUCCCUGUAGAAAAUCUAACAGAAUCUUCUAGAAAGCUACUAGAACUAAUGAGUGACUUAAGCAAAAUAGUAGGCUAUAAGAUCAGUAUACAAAAUCAGUAGUCAGUAAUAAAGGGAUAAUUAACCCCAUUUAAAAAAUGAUAGACAUGUCUCCAAAGAAGAGAUACAAAUGGCAAAUAGCACAGGAAAAGGUGUGGCAUGUCACUACUCAUUAGGGAAGCACAAAACACACUCACAGUGAGGCAUCAUUCCACACUGUCUCUGGAACAGCGUCAGUGAGGCCGAUAAUCCGUGUUAGUGAGGACGUGGAUAAGUUCGAACACUCCUAUGUUGUUGGCGGGAACACAACAUGAUUUAAUCGCCUUGGAGAACAGUUUGGCAGUUCCUCAAAAUGUUAAACAUAGAUGUAUCCUAUGAUUUAGCAAUUCUACUCCACCCAAGAAAAAUGAAAACGUGUCCACACAAAAACAUGUGCACAAAUGUCCACCAUGGCAUUGUUCUAAUAGCCACAUGGAGGGAGCAGCCCAUGUGUCCCAGCACCAAUAAAUGGUUUCACAAAACGCAGACUAGCCACACAAUGGGGUAUUUCUCAGCUAUAAAAAGAAAUGAAGUUCUGGUCACCAUGACGUGCAUGAACCUUGAAACCUUGCGCUAAGUGAAAGAGGCCAGACACAGAAGGAUGAACAUAGCAGAACCCGAUUUGUAUUCAGCAGAGGCAAAGCCGCAGAGAGGGAGGAGAGAUCAGUGGUGGCCAAGGCCAGCGGAGAAGCUCAGCGGGAGGAGUAGGGAGUGACUGCUGAUGGGUAUGGCUUCUUUGAGGUGAUAAAAAUGUUCUAGAAUUACAUUGUGAUGGUGGUUAGAGCAUGGUGACGGCUGGACAACUCUGCGAAUAUAUGAAAAACCACCGAAUUGUGUACUUGAAGUGGGUGAAGUGUGUGAUAUGAGUUUUAUCUUCAUGAGGCCACUAAAAAUCAAUUGCAUUUCUGUAUUACAGCAGAAAUUGAACUCAAAUGCCAUUUAAAAUUACAGAGAGAACAUGAAUCCUUACGAAUAAAUCUCACAAAAGAUGUACGAGAUAUGCUAAGAGCACGGCUGGGAGAAAGUCAAGGUGAAUGAAAUAAAUGGAGGUGCGCACCACGUUCACGGGUCAAACUCUUGAUAUUGACGGGAUGCCACGUCUUCCCAAAUGGGUUAAUGAAUUCAGUACCAUUGCAAUCAGAAUCCCAGAAGCGCUUCUUUUCUCUUAAGAGAAAUUCCCAUGUUGAUUAUAAAAAAUAUAAGGACAUGCAGAGGACCUAGAAUAACCAAAAGAAUCUUGAAAAAGAGAAAACAGUUGGAGGACCAAAGAUCUGUGAUUUCAAGACUCGCCGUGAGGCUACAGUCAUGGAGACAGAAGGGGAUUGGUGUCAAGAGAGACAAACGGGUCAGCAGAACAAAAUAUACAGUAUGAGGAGGGGAUUUUAAACGACGCAACCGCUUUGAAAAACAGUUUGGUGGGUUCUUAAACGGUGAGGUCCACGCUUUCCAUAUGACCAAUUCUACACCUAGGUAUUUAGCAAGAGAAAUGAAAGCAUUUGCCCACGAACGCUCACAGCAGCUAUGGGCGAAGUCUCCCGGGUUUGCUUCUGGAUAGGAUGAAGGAACUUAGCAAGUCCUCUCUGUCUUUCUCUCUGUUUCUCUCUUUCUCUCUGUCUGCCUCUCUCGACAAGCCUAGCUUUCCAGCUGACUGUCUUGUUGCAAGAUCCUAUUUUGAAUAUUAAAAAAUGAAUGUCAGCUCUCUUAUGAUGAUUAAUUUUAUGUGUCAAUUUGGAAAGUGUAUUUAGAGGACAUUAACUUCAUUUAUUUAUUUUUUUUGAGACGGAGUCUGGCUCUGUUCCCCAGGCUGGAGUGCAGUGGUGUGAUCUCGGCUCACUGCAGCCUCCACCUCUACCUUCUGGGUUCAACCGAUUCUCCUGCCUCAGCCUCCCGAGUAGCUGGUAUCACAGGUGUGUGCCACCAUGCCCGGCUAAUUUUUUGUAUUUUUAGUAGAGACGGGAUUUCCCCAUGUUGGCCAGGCUGGUCUCAAACUCCUGACCUCAGGUGACCCGCCUGCCUCGGCCUCCCAAAGUGUUGGGAUUACAGGCAUGAGCCACUGCGCCCAGCCUGAGGUUAACUUUUAAAUGGAUGAACUUUGGGUGAAGCAUGUUGCCUUCUGUAAUGUGGGUGGCCUCUUCCGAUCAGUUAAAGUCUUGAAUACAGCAGAAAGCCAGCCUUCCUGAGCAAGAGAGAUUCUCCAGCGGACGGCCUUGGGACUUCAUCCGCUCCACGGACUCUGCUGGGUCUGCAGCUGGCCAACCCACACUGCCUGCACUGCCCACACUGCCCACACUACCCACACUACCUACACUAUCCACACUACCCACACCACCCACUCUAUCCACACUACCCACACUACCCACACUGCCCACACUGCCCACACUACCCACACUAUCCACAUUACCCACACUACCCACACUGCCCACACUACCCACACUGCCCACACUACCCACACUGCCCACACUACCCACACUGCCCACACUGCAGAUGCUGGACUUGCAGCCUCCAUUACCCCAUGAGUCCCCGCCUUAUAAUAAAUCUCCUUCUCACUUUAUGCACCCCCCUACCCCCAGUUCUGUUUCUCUGGAGACCCCGACUCAGCUACUGUGAUCCCAGGGAAAGGGAGCCUCAGAGAAAGGAACCCUGUGUCCACCGGGCUUUCUCUCCAGGGAUUUGCUGACACCUCCACUGUGCAUGGCUGGGGUGAGAAGCCAGGCAGAAAACAGCUGCUUCGAGGCCAGAAUUACAGCAGGCAGGCUGAUUGUGGAGAUGUCUCCUGGGCAGCAUGCGUCAGCAGGGAUUUCAUGGGGACGGUGAGAAUUAGCAUCCACUCUUGCGGGCGUCAAGUCACUGAAGGACAAAUCCCCGGAGGCAGAGGAGGCUGUCACCCUUUCCCCAGGACUCCACAUCUGUGGCUGCUGGUCCCCCAAAACCCUGAGAGUUAAUAAUCCAUGCCUGACCUAGGGCAAUGGAACGAGGUCUUAUCAGGAAAAGCAGGCAGGUCCUCUGCCUUCCUAAAAAUUAAUGUUUUAUCAUCAGACUAUGAACAUGAUAAUUUUUAAAUCUCGAUGCUGGAGAUCACAGGAAAACAUUCUCUCAGGGGCAACAUGGAAAUCGCUGCUUUGCACAGGGUGACCCAGCCCACACUGUCAAUCUGGUGAACUCCCUCACUCUACAAAGCCCACCUCAAAUCCCCCCUGCUCUCUGCACAGAAAGCCGCAAAUUGUUUCCUGCAAUAAAGAGCCUGACUCCGUUUUUAUGAUGUUUGACGGCUCACUGCUUUGACACCUCACCCAUCCCUCUUCCCGUGUGCCCCACAGCAGGGCAGGUGUCUUUGGUGCCAGUGAGAGGCUCAAGCCCUGCAGGCUCCUGCCCAUGUGAGGCCAUCACCCCACCCCCGAGGCAUAAGAAGAGCCCCACGCCAGCUCCCUUCCUGAAGCCACCGUGCACCCCGUGAAAGCCCAGCUAGGUAAGUACCAGACCCUUUCAUCUCGUCCCGGUGUGUGGGGGCGUCUUCAGGGUUGACGGAGGAACCACAUUUGGGUGGGGUCCCUCCUCUUUUUCCAGAGUGACCACAGCACUCCACUAUUUCUUCUUUUCUUUCUUAUUUAUUUAUUUAUUUAUUUAUUUUUUUGAGAUGGAGUCUCAGUCUGUUGCCCAGGCUGGAGUUCAGUGGUGCUAUCUCUACUCACUGCAGCCUCUGCCUCCUGGGCUCAAGUGAUCCUCCCACGUCAGCCUCCCGAGUAGCUGGGACUACAGGCACACGCCACCACACCCGGCUAAUUUCUGUGUUUUCAGUAGAGAUGGGGUUUCACCAUGUUGCCCAGGCUGGUCUCGAACUCCUGACCUCAAGUGAUCCAUCCGCCUCGGCCUCCCAAAGUGCUGGGAUUACAGGCGUGAGCCGCCGCGCCCGGCCAGCACUCUCCAAUUUCUGAUCCAACUGCAUUGUCAUACAGAAAUCACACCUUGAUCGUGUUUACAGACUCAUUUCUACGCAUAGAUACAUGUCUCUGAUUCCAUGCACUGCAACGGUCAUUGCAUUUAAAAAAGAGGCAAACGCCAAGUCUCCCAGCGCCUUGGAAGACUCAGCCUCUGGGGGCUCCAUGGUUUCUGCUUGAAAGGCCGAUGGCUGCUUUGCAGAGAACCAGUCCUGAGACUCAUACCUUUCUAUUCCGAUGAGAGAACAUUUCUGCACAAGAACCUAGGUCAGGGUUCAUGUGUCUGUCCCUUGCGUUCUGCAAAGGACCGGAUCAUAAAUGGUGCAGCUCUGGGGGCCACCCGGGCCCUAUGGAAGGAACUUGUCCCUGCCGUCGUGGGGGAUGCAGCUGCACAUGGCCUGUGGACGUGCUCCAGGAAGGCGCCUGCGGGGGUGGCUGUGAACUCCCGCUGUCCCCAGCACAUUCCCUGUUGACACAUCCUGGCUGGGAGAUGUCUCCACAAUCAGCCUGCGUGCUCCGAAGUGAGGGGGAGAGGGGAAGGAGGGAGGUGAGGGGGCAAGGAGGAAGCCAUCACUUCUCUAUGAGCUGCGUGUGCCCAGCAGGCCUUGUGACAGCGCUGUGAGGUCGUGCACGUGAGAAGAGACUGAGGCGGGAGAAAUGAGAAAUAAAAACUGAACAUGAGUUCAAUUCAUCUUGCGUUUCCUUCAGGACAAAAUGUGAAUUUCAUGUCAGUAGUUUGUGCAACCAAGUCCUCUUUGUCCUGUGACUUUUAUUCAGGCACUGAACAGUGUAAACUGAUUCACACCUUCUGGGCUGCACCACCACAGGGGCCAGCAGGCCUGGGUCCCC
rnacentral:lncRNA from 10 species